rnacentral:rRNA from 1 species
GACGAACGCUGGCGGCGUGCUUAACACAUGCAAGUCGAACGGAAAGGCCCUGCUUUUGUGGGGUGCUCGAGUGGCGAACGGGUGAGUAACACGUGAGUAACCUGCCCUUGACUUUGGGAUAACUUCAGGAAACUGGGGCUAAUACCGGAUAGGAGCUCCUGCUGCAUGGUGGGGGUUGGAAAGUUUCGGCGGUUGUGGAUGGAUUCGCGGCUUAUCAGCUUGUUGGUGGGGUAGUGGCUUACCAAGGCUUCGACGGGUAGCCGGCCUGAGAGGGUGAACGGCGACAUGAGGCCUGAGAUACGGCCCAGACUGCUACGGGAGGCAGCAGUGGGGAAUAUUGCGCAAUGGGCGGAAGCCUGAUGCAGCAACGCCGCGUGCGGGAUGACGGCCUUCGGGUUGUAAACCGCUUUCGCAUGUGACGAAGCGUGAGUGACGGUAAUGGGUAAAGAAGCACCGGCUAACUACGUG